CCCUGUGAAUUAUACCUUUAAUUGUUGCUUCGGCGGGACUUCGCGCCCGCCGGGGACCCAAACCUUCUGAAUUUUUUUUAAUAAGUAUCUUCUGAGUGGUUAAAAAAAAUGAAUCAAAACUUUCAACAACGGAUCUCUUGGUUCUGGCAUCGAUGAAGAACGCAGCGAAAUGCGAUAAGUAAUGUGAAUUGCAGAAUUCAGUGAAUCAUCGAAUCUUUGAACGCACAUUGCGCCCGUCAGUAUUCUGGCGGGCAUGCCUGUUCGAGCGUCAUUACGCCCCUCAAGUCCCCUGUGGACUUGGUGUUGGGGAUCGGCGAGGCUGGUUUUCCAGCACAGCCGUCCCUCAAAUCAAUUGGCGGUCUCGCCGUGUGGCCCUCCUCUGCGCAGUAGUAAAACACUCGCAACAGGAGCCCGGCGCGGUCCACUGCCGUAAAACCCCCCAACUUUUUAUAGUUGACCUCGAAUCAGGUAGGACUACCCGCUGAACUUAAGCAUAUCAAUAAGCGGAGGAAAAGA
rnacentral:rRNA from 1 species